UAAAAGAGGAUCCAGCAAGAGA
rnacentral:miRNA from 1 species